ACCUCCUUCAAUUUCAGCUCCUUCAUCGCCUUCUCAUCCUUCGUCCCCAACCCCAGCGAGUUGAAAACGGACCCCUGGGGGAGGCCGGUUGGCC